rnacentral:tRNA from 1 species
AAUAAGGUUUUUUAGUUUUCUAAACUAAUAAUGGAUUUUUCCUUUUAUUU